rnacentral:rRNA from 1 species
UGGGGAAUUUUGGACAAUGGGGGGCAACCCCUGAUCCAGCAAUGCCGCGUGUGUGAAGAAGGCCUUCGGGUUGUAAAGCACUUUUGUCCGGGAAGAAAUCCCCUGCCCUAAUACGGCGGGGGGAUGACGGUACCGGAAGAAUAAGCACCGGCUAACUACGUGCCAGCAGCCGCGGUAAUACGUAGGGUGCGAGCGUUAAUCGGAAUUACUGGGCGUAAAGCGUGCGCAGGCGGUGAUGUAAGACCGAUGUGAAAUCCCCGGGCUCAACCUGGGAACUGCAUUGGUGACUGCAUUGCUCGAGUAUGGCAAGGGGGGUGGAAUUCCACGUGUAGCAGUGAAAUGCGUAGAGAUGUGGAGGAACACCGAUGGCGAAGGCAGCCCCCUGGGCAAUACUGACGCUCAUGCACGAAAGCGUGGGGAGCAAACAGGAUUAGAUACCCUGGUAGUCCACGCCCUAAACGAUGUCAACUGGGUUGUCCGGGCCCUUCAUUGGGCUUGGUAACGUAGCUAACGCGUGAAGUUGACCGCCU